GUCUUCCGAGAGACGUUCGCGCGACCGGAUCUCGAUGUCGCCGGUCUCCGGCGACAGGAUGGUCGA
rnacentral:sRNA from 1 species